UACGUAGGGUCCGAGCGUUGUCCGGAAUUACUGGGCGUAAAGAGCUCGUAGGUGGUUUGUCGCGUUGUUCGUGAAAACUCACAGCUCAACUGUGGGCGUGCGGGCGAUACGGGCAGACUAGAGUACUGCAGGGGAGACUGGAAUUCCUGGUGUAGCGGUGGAAUGCGCAGAUAUCAGGAGGAACACCGGUGGCGAAAGCGCUCAUCUGGCCCAAUACUGACGCUGAAGCACGAAAGCUAGGGGAGCAAACGGG
rnacentral:rRNA from 1 species